rnacentral:rRNA from 1 species
UACGGGGGGGGCAAGCGUUGUUCGGAAUUACUGGGCGUAAAGGGCUCGUAGGUGGCCAACUAAGUCGGACGUGAAAUCCCUCAGCUUAACUGGGGAACUGCGUCCGAUACUGGAUGGCUCGAGUUUGGGAGAGGGAUGCGGAAUUCCAGGUGUAGCGGUGAAAUGCGUAGAUAUCUGGAGGAACACCGGUGGCGAAGGCGGCUGCCUGGCCCAAUACUGACACUCAGGUGCGACAGCGUGGGGAGCAAACAGG